CCUACGGGGGGCAGCAGUCGAGAAUUUUUCUCAAUGGGGGAAACCCUGAAGGAGCGACGCCGCGUGGAGGAUGAAGGUCUUCGGAUUGUAAACUCCUGUCAUUUGGGAACUAGUACCAGAAGAGGAAGAGACGGCUAACUCUGUGCCAGCAGCCGCGGUAAUACAGAGGUCUCAAGCGUUGUUCGGAUUCAUUGGGCGUAAAGGGUGCGUAGGUGGCGGGGCAAGUCAGGUGUGAAAUCUCGGGGCUCAACCCCGAAACUGCACUUGAUACUGCCUUGCUCGAGUACUGGAGAGGAGAUUGGAAUUUACGGUGUAGCAGUGAAAUGCGUAGAUAUCGUAAGGAAGACCAGUGGCGAAGGCGAAUCUCUGGACAGUACUGACACUGAGGCACGAAGGCCAGGGGAGCAAACGGGAUUAGAUACCCCAGUAGUC
rnacentral:rRNA from 1 species